UGGGGAAUAUUGGGCAAUGGACGAAAGUCUGACCCAGCAACGCCGCGUGAAGGAAGAAGGCUUUCGGGUUGUAAACUUCUUUGACAGGGGAAGAGUAGAAGACGGUACCCUGAAAACAAGCCACGGCUAACUACGUGCCAGCAGCCGCGGUAAUACGUAGGUGGCAAGCGUUGUCCGGAUUUACUGGGUGUAAAGGGCGUGUAGCCGGGUCUGCAAGUCAGAUGUGAAAUCCAUGGGCUUAACCCAUGAACUGCAUUUGAAACUGCGGAUCUUGAGUAUCGGAGAGGUAAUCGGAAUUCCUAGUGUAGCGGUGAAAUGCGUAGAUAUUAGGAGGAACACCAGUGGCGAAGGCGGAUUACUGGACGACAACUGACGGUGAGGCGCGAAAGCGUGGGGAGCAAACA
rnacentral:rRNA from 1 species